AGAGUUUGAUUAUGGCUCAGGAUGAACGCUAGCUACAGGCUUAACACAUGCAAGUCGAGGGGCAGCAUUGGAGUAGCAAUACUCAGAUGGCGACCGGCGCACGGGUGAGUAACACGUAUCCAACCUGCCGCUUACUCGGGGAUAGCCUUUCGAAAGAAAGAUUAAUACCCGAUGGUAUAAAGAGUUCGCAUGUUCUCUUUAUUAAAGAAUUUCGGUAAGCGAUGGGGAUGCGUUCCAUUAGAUAGUUGGCGGGGUAACGGCCCACCAAGUCUACGAUGGAUAGGGGUUCUGAGAGGAAGGUCCCCCACAUUGGAACUGAGACACGGUCCAAACUCCUACGGGAGGCAGCAGUGAGGAAUAUUGGUCAAUGGACGCGAGUCUGAACCAGCCAAAAGUAGCGUGAAGGAUGACUGCCCUAUGGGUUGUAAACUUCUUUUAUAAGGGAAUAAAGUGAGGGACGUGUCCCUUUUUGUAUGUACCUUAUGAAUAAGGAUCGGCUAACUCCGUGCCAGCCGCGGC
rnacentral:rRNA from 1 species